CACCUUUUGGGCAGUUACGCGCAAGAAAAAAAUGACAUAAGUUAACAGCGGCUACUGUCAAGGUGUGGUGAGAAAAGGGGAAUGAGAGAACCAAGGGCUCAAGCGGAAGGAGAGUGGCUUGGGCAUGUUUCUUUCCAAUUUUACUCGCGAUCCCAGACGGACGUCUGAGGAAAAUACUCAAGUAGUGCAGUGAAAGGAAAAAUUCUAACCUCGACCGUAAUUACCGCGUGUCCAUCGUGGCUAAGAUCUAGUCAAAAGAUCAGCCGACCAUUCCUACGUUUAUUAAGCGAAGGCCGAACCCAUCGGGUUUGGCCGUACGUAAUACCGUACGAAACGCCGGUCGUAGUGCCGUAAGCCGUACCCACUACAGUCUCGUCACCUUACCACACAUAUAAAUACCCAGCGUCCCGAUCGACUACAGUAUGUG